rnacentral:rRNA from 1 species
AUUGAACGCUGGCGGUAUGCUUGACACAUGCAAGUCGAACGAUGAGAAAGAGCUUGCUCUUUCGAUUAGUGGCGGACGGGUGCGUAACGCGUAGGAAUCUACCUAUUAGUGGGGGACAACUUAGGGAAACUUAAGCUAAUACCGCAUACGCCCUACGGGGGAAAGAAGGGGAUCGCAAGACCUUUUGCUAAUAGAUGAGCCUGCGUAGGAUUAGCUAGUUGGUGGGGUAAAAGCUCACCAAGGCGACGAUCCUUAACUGGUUUGAGAGAAUGAUCAGUCACACUUGAACUGAGACACGGUGCAGACUCCUACGGGAGGCAGCAGUGGGGAAUAUUGGACAAUGGGCGAAAGCCUGAUCCAGCAAUACCGCGUGUGAGAAGAAGGCCUUAGGGUUGUAAAGCACUUUCAAUUGGAAGGAAAGCCUCGAAGCUAAUACCUUCGAGUUUGACAUUACCUUUAGAAGAAGCACCGGCUAACUCCGUGCCAGCCGCCGCAGUAACAC